rnacentral:lncRNA from 1 species
GUAAACCAAGAUGGCGUCACGCGAAGAAGCAGUUACCGUUAAUUUACAGAGGAAGCAUUUUUGAGCAUUCCAGGACCCAAAAAAUAAUCUACCACAUCACACCAAAUAACACGUAAACCUAAACUCCCACUAGCACAGUGAAAACAGGAACCAUAUGAUGACUACACAGCCUACAUAAAGCAGAAACUACGUACUCUGCGGUUCACUUCCCAGAACCCGGAGGACAGCGAGUCUGCCUGCCUCCAUGUCGAGGGUCGGGAUUCACUGGCUGCUCUGGCUGCUGUGGUUGAUGUGGAAGGCUUGAGAGAGGACAUGAUGCUUGACUGCUUAGCCUCCAUAAUGGCUUGCUGCCAAACACUCAACGUACUUUCAAAAAGCAAAUCAUCUUUGGAUUUAUUUCGGUUAUGGAAAACAGUAAUGGAAGAUUGCUGGGCUGAUCAAAAUAUGAUUCUUAAUGGGUACAUGGAGGAGACUGUGAUUUGAAAAAGUGAGGCUGUCCCAACUUUCUCCAGAUGACACUCAGAAAAUGUGCCUUUGAAGAGGAAGAUGGGGAAUGGAAGAGGAGAAACAAGAAUAUGAAACCAAUAACAGAAGUUAAGUUCUCCUUAUUUCGAUGACAGACAACAUGUGUGCCAUGUUUCAGCUGAGAAAGCCUUGACACUUGGAAUUGGAUUUUUCAGGGAAUUAAAUGUCCGAGUUUCUCUCUGAAAGUACAAAUGAGAGGGCAGUUUUAAGGAACUUUGGUGACACAGGCUCAUUCCCUUUGGCAGUAGCAUAAGCAACAGCAGUUUAUGGGGAGAAUAGAAAUUCAUUCCGACCCAUGACUUUACAUUACGUUGUGCUUUCUCUCUUGGGGAGGAAGUUUGGACUGCACAGCAACUCUGUGAUCCAAAGCAGCUUGCUUGCCCCAUAGUGUGAUACAAAGCGGUAAUAGUCAGGAGUCCUGAUAACUGAGUCAGAAGGAGAUAUUGCUCUUUUGGUUCCGAGUUGCGGAAGCUUUGCUGGCAUCCACUGCCUGAAAAGCUGAUUCCGUCCCAGAUAGAGGUGAGAUACAUGAACACAGGGAGGACACAGAACACGGCAAGGCAUUGGUAGUAAUAUGAUCAAUUAAUUUAGUAAAGGGUGCCAUCUGACUAUGGAGCCAUCCGACAGGAAAUGUGUGCAAGCCCCACAGUGAAAACAUGAUUUCUGUUAAUUGCCUGCUUUCAUCAUGCAGAUCCCAUGAGGCAGCCAAGCUGGCAUAUGAAAGGACCAGUUACUGGCUAAACUGCUGCCUAAUGUCCUUUGUGGGAGAGAUCUGGGCCUCAGAUUGACCUGAAGUAUAAAACACCAUUGAGUGCUCUAUCUUCUUCUUAAUCUAGGGCAUGACCAUUGGCCCGGAUUUCCCAACAUUCCCCCUCUGUUGUCGGUCAGUCCUUGGCUACUCAACAUUUGUCUCUGCCAGAUCCUUGCUUUACUGACCACGGUUAAAAGCCAGGAAAAGACUGAGGUGACCUUGGGUAUGGGCCACAUUACUGUUCAUUACUUGCUUGAAAAGGAAAAAAAAUGCAAACAAGAAUUAUUCUUCAUAAAGUUGGUUUAAUUCUUGCGAGCAAGUUUAUGAGUCAUUUUAUGAAUGGCUCCCGCUUCAAAUUAGGGCUCCUGUUUCCGCUUCCAAUGAGCCUCUAGUAUUACAUCUAAUAUUGUUUCCUCUCAGCAAUUGAAAUGUACAUCCCUGCUGGGUGGUAAGAAUAGAAUUUCUUUCCGGAAUUCUUUCUUCUUUCUGAAUUGCUUCAUUUUACUUCCCCCAAAACUAAAAUAAAGUAAUUUGUACCUAAAACUAGACAAAAUUAACCUCACGGCUCGUUCUGCUUUCAGUCUGCGACCUGGCUCCUUGGCACAGGAGGCUGCUUUCACUCAUGGCCCCGCCUCACCCCCUCC